AGGGGUGGUGCCGGAGACCCCGUGGGUAUCGCGGUCCUCUCAGGGAGUGCCUGCCAGCGGCUAGGGCCGCUAUGACCACCGUCCGGGCCAAUUUCCCAUUUAAAUGCUCUUUUGGUGGCCAAGUUCAAUGAAAGACAGUUUAAUCCCCCUAGGGAAUAAAACCUUGAGACACCCUGUGUCUAAACAGGAACGGGCUGUAAUAGAUGGGUUGCUAAUGCUUCUGUUAUAUCUUGACUGCAAAUCUAUCCCACCUAAAUUGACUUUACCUGGAGUUGUAGUUGAAGUUCUCGUGAAAAAUUAAAUUGGCUGGAGAAAAUGAGACUGAGCACUUUGUGUGUCUGUGAGCACUCUGAAGGAUCAAACUGUUAUCUUUCCUACGUGGUACAGAGCUGUGCAUCUUGGCACUGAAAAGUUUAAGGUUUCAGACAGUUUGUAAGCCUUUCCAAAACCCGAACCUGAACUCAGAAGGGACUGAAGUGUUUUUGAGGUUAUCUGGGCUAAAAAAGUACUGCAAAUUUGUGAUGGUUCCCUGAGCAAGUAGGUCUGUUGUUACAGAAUGUCCAUAGAUAAAUCUGGGUAUUGCUUCCUUUAUUCAGAUUUAUUUUAUGUAAAAAUGCCUGUGAAUAUAUUUAAGGUAGGACUUAUUUCAAAAUGAUAAUUGGUGCACUCAUAUUCUUCUUCUAAAUUAAAUCCAUAUUCAAACAUUUUAAAAGAUUUUAAAAGAUUUAAAAUCUAAGUUAAAUCCUUUCAGCCAUUCUGGUAGCUUCUAAUUAGCCCAAGUUGAGAAACGUUUAACUGGAGAAUUCCAGAUCUUUUGUUAUAUAUUGUGCAAAGUCAAACUCUGGUAUGAUUAUUCUGUAUAGUUUCCUUACGUUUUCACUAACUCACCUCUUUUAAAGAUGGUUAGCAGAGGUAGAGAAGUAACUACUGCUUUGAAUAUUGUUAUGCUUUCUCUUUGCAUCUCUCAGUAACAAUUAGCUCUAAAAUUCACAAAGAAAAGCUCUGUGAUGUCAUAACUGUCUGAGAUACCAUCCUUCAGCCUCUACCACUUAUACUGAGAAAGUCUGAAGCAAGGAAGAGGUCCCCAUGGCCAAGGAGAAUCAGGUUAAAGGAAUUGUUCACAUGGAAAACCGCUGGACCUGAUGGGAUGUUCCUAAGUGUGAAAAAUGUUCAGAAUUUGAAAAAAUGAUCCACCAUGCUUCAGUCCACAUCACCUAUCCUGAUGCUAGGUGGAAGAAAAUUAAAAGCAUCAUCCCAGAAUAUAAGAA